GUCCAGGAAUGGGAAACGAACCCACAGUGUUCCGCUUAUCGGGCCGAUACCAUGUCCACUAGGCUACCCUGGU
rnacentral:tRNA from 1 species